UUAUGUUUAGAUGAAUUAAAAACAAUUUUCACCUGCAGUGUGGCAGGCAUUUACACCUAUUAUAAACUCAAUAAUAGAAAUUGCAGACAUGAAUUUUUUUGUCUUUAAAACUAACAUGCACAUUGCAUAAUUACUUGUUCGUGAUGUCUGCCUGUAGUGGUUCCACCAAUAAUGUGUUGGACUAGUAGUUUACCAUUGUAAAUAAAAGAUAUAAUCUGUUUGCAGUUUUG
rnacentral:lncRNA from 1 species